UGGGGAAUAUUGCACAAUGGGCGGAAGCCUGAUGCAGCAACGCCGCGUGCGGGAUGACGGCCUUCGGGUUGUAAACCGCUUUCAGCAGGGACGAAGCGCAAGUGACGGUGCCUGCAGAAGAAGCACCGGCUAACUACGUGCCAGCAGCCGCGGUGAUACGUAGGGUGCGAGCGUUGUCCGGAUUUAUUGGGCGUAAAGAGCUUGUAGGCGGUUGGUUGCGUCGAAAGUGCAAACUCAGGGCUUAACUCUGAGCCUGCUUUCGAUACGGGCUGACUGGAGGAAGGUAGGGGAGAAUGGAAUUCCCGGUGGAGCGGUGGAAUGCGCAGAUAUCGGGAAGAACACCAGUGGCGAAGGCGGUUCUCUGGACCUUUCCUGACGCUGAGAAGCGAAAGCGUGGGGAGCAAACAG
rnacentral:rRNA from 1 species